GACGAACGCUGGCGGCGUGCCUAAAACAUGCAAGUCGAACGGUGAAGGGGACUUCGGUUCCCGGAUCAGUGGCGUACGGGUGAGUAACACGUGAGGAAUCUGCCGUAUUGUGGGGGAUACCCAUUGGAAACGAUGGUUAAUACCGCAUAGUGCGCCGGGCCUACCUGGGCCUGGCGGGAAAGAAGUAAUGCGCAGUACGAGGAGCUCGCGUCCUAUCAGCUAGUUGGUGAGGUAACGGCUCACCAAGGCGACGACGGGUAGCCGGCCUGAGAGGGUGAUCGGCCACACUGGGACUGAGAACCGGCCCAGACUCCUACGGGGGGCAGCAGUUGGGAAUCUUGCGCAAUGGGGGAAACCCUGACGCAGCGACGCCGCGUGCGGGAUGACGGUCUUCGGAUUGUAAACCGCUUUUCUCGGGGACGAUAAUGACGGUACCCGAGGAAUAAGCCCCGGCUAACUCCGUGCCAGCCGCCGCGGUAA
rnacentral:rRNA from 1 species